CUCGAUCCCCAAAUCAAAUCGCUGCCUGUUUCCUCCACCCAACCCUAACCCCAACCCCUACCUUAGCUAGCUAGCCGCCAUGGCCCCUCCCAUGGCUCUGCUCCACCGUGAUAUUUACAUCUCCGACGACAUGGCGGUGUCCGACCUAGUGUCAACCCGCUGCCCGUGGGUAGGACGAGUUGAUCCACCAAGCCGCCAAGAGAAGAGCGAAGCAGUCGCCGAUUACCUGCGGACCUUCAAGGCGCACGCAGUCGUCGCUGAUCCGCCGUUGCCCUCCUUCCUCCACA
rnacentral:lncRNA from 1 species